UGACAACCCUGUGGUUUUAAACUGAGGGAGAAUAUGGCAACACUGUGGUUUUAUACUGAGGGAGAAUAUGGCAACACUGUGAUUUUAUACUGAGAAGAAACUGUGACAACCCUGUGGUUUUAAACUGAGGGAGAAUAUGGCAACAAUGUGGUUUUAUACUGAGGGAGAAUAUGGCAACACUGUGGUUUUAUACUGAGGGAGAAUAUGGCAACACUGUGGUUUUAUACUGAGGGAGAAUAUGGCAACACUGUGGUUUUAUACUGAGGGAGAAUAUGGCAACACUGUGGUUUUAUACUGAGAAGAAACUGUGACAACCCUGUGGUUUUAAACUGAGGGAGAAUAUGGCAAUACUGUAAUUUUAUCCUGAGAAGAAACUAUGGCAACCCUGUGGUUUAAAACAGAGAAAACUAUGGCAACCCUGUGGUUUAAAACAGAGAAAACUAUGGCAACCCUGUGGUUUAAAACAGAGAAAACUAUGGCAACCCUGUGGUUUAAAACAGAGAAAACUAUGGCAACCCUGUGGUUUAAAACAGANNNNNNNNNNAAAUCAGGUAAGAUAAGGGAGGUAAGGCAAUAAAUAGGCCAUGGUGGCGAAGUACAGCAAUUAAACACUGGAGUGAUUGAUGUGCAGAAGAUGAAUGUGCAAGUAGAGAUACUGGGGUGCAAAGGAGCAAGAUAAAUAAA
rnacentral:lncRNA from 13 species